UACGUAGGGGGCAAGCGUUGUCCGGAAUUAUUGGGCGUAAAGAGUGUGUAGGCGGCUUGGUAAGUCCGCUCUGAAAGCCAGGGGCUCAACCCCUGGAGGCGGGUGGAUACUGUCAAGCUUGAGUCCGGAAGAGGCGAGUGGAAUUCCCGGUGUAGCGGUGAAAUGCGCAGAUAUCGGGAGGAACACCUGAGGCGAAGGCGGGCUACUGGGCCGAUACUGACGCUGAUGCGCGAAAGCCAGGGGAGCGAACGGG
rnacentral:rRNA from 1 species